rnacentral:rRNA from 1 species
GCACAAGCGGUGGAUGAUGUGGUUUAAUUCGAUGCAACGCGAAAACCUUACCUACCUUUGACAUGUACGGAACUCGCCAGAGAUGGCUUGGUGCUCGAAAGAGAGCCGUAACACAGGUGCUGCAUGGCUGUCGUCAGCUCGUGUCGUGAGAUGUUGGGUUAAGUCCCGCAACGAGCGCAACCCUUGUCAUUAGUUGCUACAUUUAGUUGGGCACUCUAAUGAGACUGCCGGUGACAAACCGGAGGAAGGUGGGGAUGACGUCAAGUCCUCAUGGCCCUUAUAGGUAGGGCUACACACGUCAUACAAUGGAUGGUACAAAGGGUCGCCAACCCGCGAGGGGGAGCCAAUCCCAUAAAGCCAUUCGUAGUCCGGAUCGCAGUCUGCAACUCGACUGCGUGAAGUCGGAAUCGCUAGUAAUCGUGGAUCAGAAUGUCACGGUGAAUACGUUCCCGGGUCUU